UACGUAGGUCCCGAGCGUUGUCCGGAUUUAUUGGGCGUAAAGCGAGCGCAGGCGGUUUGAUAAGUCUGAAGUUAAAGGCUGUGGCUCAACCAUAGUUCGCUUUGGAAACUGUCAAACUUGAGUGCAGAAGGGGAGAGUGGAAUUCCAUGUGUAGCGGUGAAAUGCGUAGAUAUAUGGAGGAACACCGGUGGCGAAAGCGGCUCUCUGGUCUGUAACUGACGCUGAGGCUCGAAAGCGUGGGGAUCGAACAGGAUUAGAUACCCCCGUAGU
rnacentral:rRNA from 1 species